CAGCAACUGAUGCACAGACAGCUGCUGUUUCUCCCUUUCCCCUCCUUUUGCUCCCCUCACUAUUCUCCUUUCGUUUCUUCCCUUCACCAACUCCAUUCAUCCACUCUGUACUUUCCCCUUCCUUCCCUCUACUCUGUCACUCUGCACUGCAAUUUUUCCUCAGGCAGAUAUAAAGGCAGGUCCUGUUGGAGGGAGAGGGCUUGUGUAAUCUCUGGCUGCACAUGAGCACCGGAGAGUUAUUGCUUCAGCUGGAAAAGCAAACCCACAAACGCGUAAAGGACAAAACUUUGGAAUAAGGAGGAGAGGGAGGAAUAUUUCUGGCCCGGGAAGGGAGGAAGAGGAGGGCGAUAAAGAGUUAGGAGUUUGGGUGCAGGACACAGACCAUGCCGGGUUCUGUGGUGCUGCUGCUGUCCCUGUUGGUCCUAUCCACAGGAAAUGAUGCCAGAAGAAUCAGGAAAAGAGGACUCAACCAUAAGGACUAUGAGUACGCCAACCACCCCCAGUCCACACAGCACCAGAAGAAUGACCGGUGUCCACCGCCGCCCCAGAUGCUGCCAGAGAGAGCCUGCGAGGUGCCGGGCUGCCGUUCAGACUCAGAGUGUGAGCGCCACAAACGCUGCUGCUACAACGGCUGCAUCUACGCCUGCCUGGAGUCUGUGCAGCCUCCACCAGUGUUGGACUGGCUGGUGCAGCCCAAGCCUCGGUGGUUGGGGGGUAACGGCUGGCUGUUAGAUGGCCCUGAAGAGGUUCUGCAGGCUGAGGCCUGCAGCACAACUGAGGAUGGGGAUGAGCCUCUCCACUGUCCUACAGGCUACGAGUGCCACAUCAUCAACCCAGGAAACCCCGCUGCUGGCAUCCCCAACCGGGGACAGUGCAUCAAGCAACGUGGCAACUCCGACGGACGUGGUCUACGGCACAAAUACUUCAAGGACUACAAGGACUACUUAGGUAAGUGAGGUACCAGUUCCAACAAUGCAGUAGGCUACGAAAAACAUCAUCACAAGCACCUGGGAUGAAAUCAACCUGACCUCAGCCUCAGCUACGACCAUAACACAACCUCAGACAUCAGACCACUCCUGUUCGAUCUGCUCUCAUCACACCUGAACCAGGAUCAGAUCUGACCUUUCAAGACCUACAGCUGCUACCUCCGCUCUGCAAAACCCCGUAUUGCAGCCUCAGUAAUGAAGUCCUUUGGGAGACGAGUCUGACGUACCUGAAGUACACAGCCAAAGAAACAAGUGCUCUUUUUUGUCUCACUGUGUGGUGUCUGUGAAAGGAUGGAGCAGAGGGUGUUGAUGGUGAGGCGGAGUCGGGGAGAGCAGGGUGAGCACCAAAGCUGUUUAUCAAAUGUCUCACAAAGAAAUAAGGAACCGGUGGUAUCUUUACACUCCUUUAAGGCCCUCUCCCUCCCCAUAACUCAUUCUUAUUCUCACACACACACCCUCUGACUUUAAGGCUUGGUCAACAGAGAAAAUCAAGACCAUGUGUCCAUGUUACUUAUCCUGUCUCUAUUGUUCUCAGAAGGUCAGUGCUCAAAUUUCCUGAUCUGGAAUCUGGAACGUUUUAUAAACAAAAAAAGAAGAAAAAUACAGCUGUCUUGGUCGCAUUUCCAAAUCAAAUCCAAAUGUAAUACGAUAUUCUGACAAAUAACUUUAGUCAAAAGAAUAAAUGCCAUAUGAGUGUGUGAACUGUGUCUGCAGUUCACACAUUCUGACUCCAAGUCAAAUAAGUUAAAAUGGUUAACCUCUAAGAACUGAAACCAAAAAACGCACACCUUUAAAUAAGCCUUCUAUUGGGAAGCCCAACAAGGUAAAUGAAGAGAAAAAAUGUGGUAAUGUGGCUGGCAGAUCUCUUUAUAUUAUAUACUAUUUUUGAGUUGCUUCCUCCCUUGAAACAAAUGGAGGGGAAAACAUUCACCUGUGAAAACAAGCUGAUGUGCUUGUAGGUCUUUUUAUUUAAAAAGUGGUGCAUGUCAGCCUCUUGUGGCUGAAAUGAGUAUUACAAAAAACACCUGUUAUCAUAGAUUUAAAUAUUCACUUCGAAAAUGAUCUUGACAAAAAUUGUCCACCACAAAAAAUAAAGAACCUCAAAGUUUAUUCUGCAAAGAAAAAAAAAAAGACUUGACCUUAAGUCAUACGUCUUACAUCAGAGGGUAAAUUUUUUAACACUGAAAAUCGAUUUGGGGAGGAUUAUACCCUUCAACAUAAACUCUGUAUAUACUUUUACAUCUGCAUUUCUUUCCUUACUGAAGUGACAUUGUUGAAUGUCACACAACAAAUAUCUACCAACUCGUUAUGAUUAAUUCAACCAGUUCAUAAUUUUGAAUAAUCCUACUGAAUAACCUCUAAAUAAUCCAGUCUUUGUACAAAGCCUCACACUAUCACAGGCCCUGUUGCAGUGCGGGGGCUUUUGCACAGAGCAGAUAUCUGAAACCGGUGAAAAGACCUUCUGUGCUAUUCUCAAACUUACCCAGCUACAGUCAAAUGUUCAACAGCUCAAAUGGUGCUAGGUUUCAUUGCUGCCUAUAAUAACAGAAGAAUAAGCUGGUCACAUGAUAAGCUGAAGGUGCAAAACCGAAGCUGGAACCACUCUAUGUGCAGAACUAAAGUGAUGUCUGAAUGUUGCCUUUCUGACUGGUGCUGUAAUGUUGCCUUGUUUAUUCUAAAUAAACCACAUUGUUGAAUUCUG